AGCUUUCUCGACAUAUCCGAGGACUUAUGAUCUCUUACAUGCUGAUGGUGUGUUUAGCAUUUACCAGGACAGGUGUGAUAUAACCGACAUCCUCUUGGAGAUGGACAGAAUACUGAGGCCCGAAGGGACAGUGAUAUUCCGCGACACAGUGGAAGUCCUAGUGAAAGUCCAGGGAAUCACCGAUGGGAUGAGGUGGAAGAGCCAAAUCAUGGAUCACGAGAGCGGGCCCUUCAACCCCGAGAAGAUCCUCGUGGCCGUCAAGAGUUACUGGACGACAGAGCCUACCCAAGAGCAGUAACUACUCUUUCGGGUUAUCCUUCAUACGUUCGAGUAGGACUGCACCAAAGUAUCCAAGAAAUCUAU
rnacentral:misc_RNA from 1 species